GGAGGUGGGUGAGGGGUCCCCUCACUGUAGUGAGAGAGUAGUCAAUGCCGCAUGCUCUGGGCACAUGCCGAGGGGCCCAGCCUCUCUCACUCUGAAGCCUGGCACCUUCCAAGACCUUGCAGCUGCAAGUGGUGCAGCGGCUUGCCCAUGGCCCCACCUGCUGUCAGAGCUGUGCUACUGCAGCCACUCCUUUCAUGAAACAAGAGGCCCAGGCAACCCUCACUGCUGGCUGGAGUUCCAUCUUUCCUUGCUUGGAACACCGCACCCUCUGCAGGGCCCCAGUGGCACGGCUCUCACAUGCUGUUCCUCCCAGCUUGCCCUUCUCAGAACGAGACUUUGCAUCUUUACAGGACCCUCGGGCGACUCACUGGCCCGUGGAGGUCUGAGAAACACUAGUCAGGAGGCCUGAGAAGGAAGAACAUGCAUCCAGUUGGAAGCCCAGGGGAGACAUGGAAUGGAGAGAGAAAAUUCCAAGAGACACACAGAGAACCUUCCAAAAUUAGAGAAACCAUCAACAAUUCCCAAACAGGAUAAACAAAUAAUACAAAUAAACUCGACCUGGAACAGUUGAGUGGAUAGAAACAGCACACGUAAGAUCGGGUGUGCACGAGGAGAUGCGAACACCGGGAACAGUCGAGUGGGUAGAAACAGCACACGUAAGAUCGGGUGUGCACGAGGAGAUGCGAACACCGGGAACAGUCGAGUGGGUAGAAACAGCACACGUAAGAUCAGGUGUGCACGAGGAGAUGCGAACACCGGGAACAGUCGAGUGGAUAGAAACAGCACACGUAAGAUCGGGUGUGCACGAGGAGAUGCGAACACCGGGAACAGUCGAGUGGGUAGAAACAGCACACGUAAGAUCGGGUGUGCACGAGGAGAUGUGAACACCGGGAACAGUCGAGUGGGUAGAAACAGCACACGUAAGGUCGGGUGUGCACGAGGAGAUGUGAACACUGGGAACAGUCGCGUGGGUAGAAACAGCACACGUAAGAUCGGGUGUGCACGAGGAGAUGCGAACACCGGGAACAGUCGAGUGGGUAGAAACAGCACACGUAAGAUCGGGUGUGCGUGAGGAGAUGCGAACACCGGGAACAGUCGCGUGGGUAGAAACAGCACACGUAAGAUCGGGUGUGCGUGAGGAGAUGCGAACACCAGGAACAGUCGAGUGGGUAGAAACAGCACACGUAAGGUCGGGUGUGCGUGAGGAGAUGCGAACACCCGCAGGUCUCUGUCUCAUUCCACUAGAGGGAGAAGACACUGAGUGUAGACUCUCAACGCACAUGUUAAAGUUUCAAUGACCACUAACAACAAAGAAGUCCGAUAUGUAACCUCUGUGACAGGAAACAAGUGAGGGGAAAAAUUAUUAAUCCAACAGAAGAAAAGGAGUGAAAUAAAAAAGAAACUCUGGAAAAGCAGGACAAUUAGAAAACAAGUGUCAAAAAUUAGUCUAAAUAUGUGGAUGAUUGUGAUCAAAGUAAAAUUAUGAAAUUCCAGUUAAGAAGCAAAGGCUGCC
rnacentral:lncRNA from 10 species